rnacentral:misc_RNA from 1 species
UUUCCGUAGGUGAACCUGCGGAAGGAUCAUUAAAGUUAUAGUCCCCCGGCCCUCUGGGCUGGGGUCUUCUAUACCACCCUUUGUUUAUUACACCUUUGUUGCUUUGGCAGGCCUGCCCUCGGGCUGCUGGCUCCGGCCGGCUCGCGUCUGCCAGAGGACCUAAACUCCGUUUGUAUAUGAAGUCUGAGUACUAUAUAAUAGUUAAAACUUUCAACAACGGAUCUCUUGGUUCUG